rnacentral:lncRNA from 1 species
CUUGUCGGCAGAGCCGGUCUCAGGCCACCUCCUCUUUUCCGAGUUAUAACUGGAUGAGUUUUGACAAAUGUGACACCAGUAACCCACAGCUCGGUCAAGACAGAACACUCCUCGGUCAAGACAGAACAACACCCUGAACGUUCCUCAUGCCUCUCCCCAGGUAACCCCCCCACAGAGGGAACCGUUGUCCUCAUGUGUGUUUCACGAUAGGUUAGUUUCACCAAUUCUGAAACUUGGUGUAAACUUUCACUCCGUCAGUGCCUUUGGCGUCAUCCGUGUUGCUUUCUUUUUUCUUGCCUUAUUACUCUGGCUAGCAAGUCUAGUGUGAUAAGGAAUAGAAACAGUGGGACUGGCUGUCCUUGUCCUGUGCUUGAUCUUACAGUGAAGCUUUCGGUCUUUCCCCAUUAAAUAGUAUGAGGUCUAUGGAUUCUGUAGAUGCCUUUUAUUAGGCUGAAGAAGUUUCCUUCUCUUCCUAAUUUGCUGAGUUUCUAUUAUGAAUAGUGUUGAAUUUUGUC